ACUGUGCGAAAAUGAUAAAGAACUAGUUUAAGCAGUAUAGCAGGUGAAUAAUACACACCACUCUAAGAACGGACUUCAACACGUACAGAGAAGAUAUUUGAAAGCCAACAAAUAAUGAAGAUGCUGUGGGUUCUGGCCUGCCUCGCACUCAUGGUCUCAGUGGUCCAGGGCGCGCCUGUGACCAGCUCGGACUGCGUGUUAACGCAGCAGCUCAACGGGACUCUCCGCGACAUCUUCGUUGAAGUUAUCAGAAUAGUAAUCGUGCCCAACCUGAGCAACUGCAGCCUGAAGAGCGGGUAGCGAACACUGCCCAGGUGGCUGUGUUUGCUGAUGAAUGUUUAACCUCUUCCACGAUAUCCACUGCAUCUUCCUGGAUUACAACUGUGACUUCUUCAUGCGCAUUAUUCUUGGCGAAGUUUAUUUCUCGAAACCAAAUUUGUAUCCAAAAUUGUUAUAUUUUUUUUUGUAAAAAUUUGAAAUCAGAAAAUAUAAAAAAAUAUUAUAAAUAUGUUUAUGUUAAAGAAUACAAAACAUUGAAACAAUUGUAAUAUAUAUAAUUCGGAUUACAACAAUCAGUUAAUCAAAUGCUGCGUACUUAAUUGUGAAAUUUUGUCAAUUUAUAUUUUAUGACUGUAAACCUGUACUGAAAAUAUUUAAAAAAAUAAAA